rnacentral:rRNA from 1 species
GUACGGGAGGCAGCAGUGGGGAAUUUUGGACAAUGGGGGCAACCCUGAUCCAGCCAUUCCGCGUGAGUGAAGAAGGCCUUCGGGUUGUAAAGCUCUUUCAGCUGGAACGAAACGGUGAGCUCUAACAUAGCUUGCUAAUGACGGUACCAGCAGAAGAAGCACCGGCUAACUACGUGCCAGCAGCCGCGGUAAUACGUAGGGUGCGAGCGUUAAUCGGAAUUACUGGGCGUAAAGCGUGCGCAGGCGGAUUGUUAAGCAAGACGUGAAAUCCCCGGGCUUAACCUGGGAAUGGCGUUUUGAACUGGCAGUCUAGAGUGCGUCAGAGGGGGGUGGAAUUCCACGUGUAGCAGUGAAAUGCGUAGAGAUGUGGAGGAACACCGAUGGCGAAGGCAGCCCCCUGGGAUGACACUGACGCUCAUGUACGAAAGCGUGGGUAGCAAACAGGAUUAGAUACCCUGGUAGC